CAGCCUGUGUACUAUGCAGUUUCCAUUACGGCGACGUUAUUCUGGAUUUUAGAGAGUUUAAUUCUGAGUUGAGAACACGGUGUGCGGUUGAAUUGUUCUGUUGGAAUGUCAUAGGCUGAUUGUGUUACUGACGAAAUGGCAGAGAGUGCUCAUGUGGUCUCCUGUACACUAUUUUUACUCCCGUCGAGUUGAGAAUUGUCCGAGAAGGUGACGCUGUCCCACUGCUUCAGAUCCAUCGGCCGUGUAGCUGUGACCUGUUCAUCUUAGCCUGACGUCUCCCGUGAGCUGUGAGGACACCGAGCUCUCCCCAUCACAUGAGUCUGUGAGCCCGCACGUUUCGUCGUUGGGAAUGAGAAGGGAACCCCUGCCUUAUGGACAUGACUCCCACCGCCCUACUAGACAGGAUACUCAUCCUUUGCUCUGCUGUAGCAGUCGGUAAGUUUUGCUUCUAAUUGUUUUAAAGGAAAUGUCGUUGUGUUCUUGGAGACAAUAAACAUGUGUCCCGCUGUGUAUGGGGUAUUCAGUAAAUAAAUACAUAAAUAAAUGAACAAAGGAACAAAUGAAGAAAAGGAAUAAAAUAACUAACUAACUAACUUACUAACUAACUAACUAACUAACUAACUAA